rnacentral:rRNA from 1 species
GACGAAGGGGGCUAGCGUUGCUCGGAAUCACUGGGCGUAAAGGGUGCGUAGGCGGGUCUUUAAGUCAGGGGUGAAAUCCUGGAGCUCAACUCCAGAACUGCCUUUGAUACUGAGGAUCUUGAGUUCGGGAGAGGUGAGUGGAACUGCGAGUGUAGAGGUGAAAUUCGUAGAUAUUCGCAAGAACACCAGUGGCGAAGGCGGCUCACUGGCCCGAUACUGACGCUGAGGUGCGAAAGCGUGGGGAGCAAACAGG